rnacentral:tRNA from 1 species
GAGCAUGGGCCCAGCUAGAGACCCUGAUGACCGGCCGUGAACGAAGGUCCACAGACUUGGAAAGCGUGUAUAGGGCAACCUAUCAGGGGUUCAAAUCCCCUAUCCUCCGCCA